AGUUCCCCCAGCUGACCCACUUGGUAUAUUCAGUGGGUCAGCUGAGGGAAAUUGGACACAGCCUAUUUAGCAGUAAUUGGCUAUAUCUAUCUCCCACAACUGCAAAAUCUGGAAAGGGUUAAUGAAUGGCCUGAUUAACUUCUUCAUCUGUGCUCAGCAGGCAGAAAUAACUGCUAAAAAAGAAAAACAACAGGAGUAAAACCUAAAGCUAAAGCAGUGUGUAGGUUAAUUCCAGAAAGAGGAACAUGAGGUUGAGGAGACUGCUGUGCAGACUGUCUUCGAGUGCACCACGCAGGUCAGAGAAGAGACCUUGUAAAGGACUGCCUUAGCUAUAAGACAUAAACUUAGAUGGAAAUCAGGAGUGUUACCAAAACUGCCAUUAUGAAAAUCCUUGGCUAAGCUGUGCCCAACCAUGGAAGUGAGAGCUUUAAGAAGAGAUGCUAAGGAUGUGUAUCUUACAAAAAGACUU